UACAGAGGUCUCAAGCGUUGUUCGGAUUCAUUGGGCGUAAAGGGUGCGUAGGCGGCGCGGUAAGUCGGGUGUGAAAUUUCGGGGCUUAACUCCGAAACUGCAUUCGAUACUGCCGUGCUUGAGGACUGGAGAGGAGACUGGAAUUUACGGUGUAGCGGUGAAAUGCGUAGAUAUCGUAAGGAAGACCAGUGGCGAAGGCGGGUCUCUGGACAGUUCCUGACGCUGAGGCACGAAGGUCAGGGGAGCAAACGGG
rnacentral:rRNA from 1 species